GUUGGAAGCGAUUGAGGGUAAGAACACAAUUUUUCUACACUCUGCAGACUGGGGUGUUCCUAAUACAGCCACUGAAAAAGAAACAUGAAGACAGACUGGGGAGCUCUGCUGGGGCUUCUGUGGGUCCAUGUUUGCUGGGUGAGAGGGAUGACGGUGGAGCAGAACCCUUCAGACCUGAGCCUCCAGGAGGGAGCCAACUCUACUCUCAAGUGCAAUUUUUCUAGCACAGUGAACAGAGUGCAGUGGUUCCGACAGAAUCCUGGGGGCGGCGGCUUCACCUCAUUGUUUUACAUAUUUUCCGGGAUGAAGCAGAGUGGAAGGUUAACCUGCACAGUGAAUACUAAGGAACAGUCUAGCACCCUCUACAUCACGGCCUCCCGACUGGAAGACUCAGCCACCUACCUGUGUGCGGGGGAGGCACAGUGCUCCCGGGUGAUCUGCAGCCUGCACCCAAACUGCAGCUGCACCUGCAGCCCCCGCCUCUCCCUGGGGCUGGCAUUUGCCCCCAUAGCAGCCUUCGCAUAUUUUUAGACUUAAGUUACAGCACUUUUUUCCCUUCUAAAUUACAACUACCAGUGCUCUCAAUUCACUUGCUUUUCCUGCCCUUUUUCUUCCAAAAAGCCCUUUGUAGGUAAAAAGUUCUACCAAGGAACCUUUGGAGUAAGUGACAGAGAUGCCCAUAUCCAGUACCCUGGGAAGACAGAUGUCCUGGCAGCUA